AGGACUAGGAAUAGAAAAAAUAAAGAAGGAGGAAGAGGAAGUUAAAACAAGAGAUGUAGGCUAAGAAUGGAAAUGACAAAUAUGGGAAUCAAUAUAGAGAAUUGAAGAUAUAAUGAUAGAUUGGUCGAUUUAUCUACUAUUAGAUUUAAUUUAAUAAUUUUAUUUAUUUAUUAUAUUCAUUAUUAAAGAAUUUAAAAGAAUAUUGAUUCUUAAGUGUGAUAUUUUAAUAAAAAAAGAUUGAAUGUAUGAAUGAUUAUUUUAGCUUGAUCAAAGUUUUAGUUUUUUUAUUCUAAUAAUUUUUUAUUUUUUUUAUUCUAAAUUAAUAGAAAUAAAUAAAAAUAUAUCUUUAAAUAAUUAAAUUCAUAAAAUUUAAUAUUAUUUUUUAUAGCAAAAUAUUGAAUAACAAGUAAAAAAUAUUCAAAAAAUUAUGUCUAAUAUCUUUUUUAAUAGUUUGCUUAUUCUUAUUUAAACCUUUUAUCUUAAUAAGUAUCUUAAAAAUAAUUUCAUCAUUUUAUAUCUACAUAGAAUUCAUCUACUAAUCUUUGUAAAAAAUAUAUAAGAAGAUUUUUUUAAAAUUAAUUAAUAUCAAAUAGAAAUGAUAAUGUUAUAUAAAAGCUUUGUAAAUUAAUCAACAUCUAAGAUAUCAAAAUAUGUUUCAAAAUUUUAUGUAUAAAUUUUAUUAUAAUUUAUUUUAAUACAUUGAUUUGUAAUUUAUCAGAAAACUUAUGUUUUGAUAAUAAUCUCUUUUUUUUUACCUAUACAAAAUUCUAAGUUAGUUGAUUAAUGGAUUUUAUGACUUAAAUUUUAUAUACAUAUAUACAUAAUAUUUAAAUAUAUAAUAGAAGUUAAAAUAAUAUAUUUAUCAUUAAAUUUUAUUAAAUUAAAUUAAUAUAGUUUUUACACUUAGUACACAAGGUAAGAAGCCAAAAAAUAUUAAUCUUUUAAUUGGUUGAAUUAAAAGCCUCACUAAAUUAGCUUUGUAUUUAGAAAAAUUAACCUAAAAGUUUUA
rnacentral:lncRNA from 1 species